rnacentral:rRNA from 1 species
UCGUGGGUGACUUGUCUGUUUAAUUACGAUAACGAACGAGACCUUAACCUGCUAAAUAGCCCGGCUAGCUUUGGCUGGUCGCCGGCUUCUUAGAGGGACUAUCGGUUCAAGCCGAUGGAAGUUUGAGGCAAUAACA